CGUAGGCUGUUGAGUAAGUCAAAUGUGAAAUCCCCGGGCUUAACCUGGGAACUGCAUUCGAUACUGCUUAACUAGAGUAUGGUAGAGGGAAGUGGAAUUCCGGGUGUAGCGGUGAAAUGCGUAGAUAUCCGGAGGAACACCAGUGGCGAAGGCGACUUCCUGGGCCAAUACUGACGCUGAGGUGCGAAAGCGUGGGGAGCAAACA
rnacentral:rRNA from 1 species